rnacentral:rRNA from 1 species
GCCUAACACAUGCAAGUCGAGCGAGGGGAGUUCUUCGGAACGAACCUAGCGGCGGACGGGUGAGUAACACGUGGGCAACCUACCUCAAAGAGGGGGAUAGCCUCCCGAAAGGGAGAUUAAUACCGCAUAAAAUCAUGCUCUCGCAUGGGAGAAUGAUCAAAGGAGUAAUCCGCUUUGAGAUGGGCCCGCGGCGCAUUAGCUAGUUGGUGAGGUAACGGCUCACCAAGGCCACGAUGCGUAGCCGACCUGAGAGGGUGAUCGGCCACAUUGGAACUGAGAUACGGUCCAGACUCCUACGGGAGGCAGCAGUGGGGAAUAUUGCACAAUGGGCGAAAGCCUGAUGCAGCAACGCCGCGUGAGUGAUGAAGGCCUUCGGGUUGUAAAGCUCUGUCUUUUGGGACGAUAAUGACGGUACCAAAGGAGGAAGCCACGGCUAACUACGUGCCAGCAGCCGCGGUAAUACGUAGGUGGCAAGCGUUGUCCGGAAUUACUGGGCGUAAAGAAUGCGUAGGUGGAUAUGCAAGUCAGAUGUGAAAUACCCGGGCUCAACUUGGGUGCUGCAUUUGAAACUAUAUAUCUAGAGUGCAGGAGAGGAAAGCGGAAUU